rnacentral:rRNA from 1 species
GGGAUGUUGGGGGUGUUUUGCAGGUCCCUUUCGAGGUCUGCUCCCCUUGAAUGCAUUAGUGAGGUUCGGCGCUCGGCCUCGACGUGAUAAGUCUAUCUACGUCGUGUCCGGUGCUUUGUUUGUCCUGGUCAGCCAGGGAAAAACGGGACUUUGCUUCCAACCGUCUUCGGACAACCGUGCGCUCGCGCACAACCUUCGAACUCGACCUCAAAUCAGGUGGGACUACCCGCUGAACUUAAGCAUAUCAAUAAGCGGAGGAAAAGAAACUAACAAGGAUUCCCCUAGUAACUGCGAGUGAAGCGGGAAGAGCUCAAAUUUAAAAUCUGGCGGUCUUUUGGCCGUCCGAGUUGUAAUUUAGAGAAGCGUUUUCCGCGCCGGACCGUGUACAAGUCUCCUGGAACGGAGCGUCGUAGAGGGUGAGAAUCCCGUCUUUGACACGGACAGCCGGUGCUAUGUGAUACGCUCUCGAAGAGUCGAGUUGUUUGGGAAUGCAGCUCAAAAUGGGUGGUGAACUCCAUCUAAAGCUAAAUAUUGGCGAGAGACCGAUAGCGAACAAGUACCGUGAGGGAAAGAUGAAAAGCACUCUGGAAAGAGAGUGAAACAGUACGUGAAAUUGCUGAAAGGGAAACGAUUGAAG